GCCCAGAUAGCUCAGACAGUAGAGCAUAGACUUUUAAUCUAAUGGUCCAGGGUUCAAGUCCUUGUUUGGGCA
rnacentral:tRNA from 1 species